UCAUACUAACCUAUAAUGUUGGCCUCUCAUCGUCAACGAUGUAAGCUGGCUUGAUUGCUUCCCAACCCGAUCGAGUAGAAAGCUAGCAUGCUAGCUCAUCCGCCGAGAUGCACGCUCGAUUGGCCUAAAUAUGUGUGUACGCCGACCUCCUAAACAUGCACCUGAUCAAUAUUUUCUGUUGCACGGACACAACACCAAGGGUUAGAGAGGUAGCGAUUGGGAGAGAGUGCCAC
rnacentral:lncRNA from 1 species